rnacentral:rRNA from 1 species
CGGCGAGUGAAGCGGCAAAAGCUCAAAUUUGAAAUCUGGCUCUUUCAGAGUCCGAGUUGUAAUUUGAAGAAGGUAUCUUUGGGUCUGGCUCUUGUCUAUGUUUCUUGGAACAGAACGUCACAGAGGGUGAGAAUCCCGUGCGAUGAGAUGAUCCAGGCCUAUGUAAAGUUCCUUCGAAGAGUCGAGUUGUUUGGGAAUGCAGCUCUAAGUGGGUGGUAAAUUCCAUCUAAAGCUAAAUAUUGGCGAGAGACCGAUAGCGAACAAGUACAGUGAUGGAAAGAUGAAAAGAACUUUGAAAAGAGAGUGAAAAAGUACGUGAAAUUGUUGAAAGGGAAGGGCUUGAGAUCAGACUUGGUAUUUUGUAUGUUACUUCUUCGGGGGUGGCCUCUACAGUUUAUCGGGCCAGCAUCAGUUUGGGCGGUAGGAGAAUUGCGUUGGAAUGUGGCACGGCUUCGGUUGUGUGUUAUAGCCUUCGUCGAUACUGCCAGCCUAGACUGAGGACUGCGGUUUAUACCUAGGAUGUUGGCAUAAUGAUCUUAAGUCGCCCGUCU